rnacentral:rRNA from 1 species
GACGAACGCUAGCGGCGUGCUUAACACAUGCAAGUCGAACGAUGAAGGAGAGCUUGCUCUCCGGAUUAGUGGCGAACGGGUGAGUAACACGUGACUAACCUGCCCCUUUCUCUGGGAUAACGCUCCGAAAGGAGUGCUAAUACCGGAUACGAACUCUGAACACAUGUUCGGAGUUGGAAAGGUUUUCGGAAAGGGAUGGAGUCGCGGCCUAUCAGCUUGUUGGUGAGGUAAUGGCUCACCAAGGCGACGACGGGUAGCCGGCCUGAGAGGGCGACCGGCCACACUGGGACUGAGACACGGCCCAGACUCCUACGGGAGGCAGCAGUGGGGAAUAUUGCACAAUGGGCGAAAGCCUGAUGCAGCGACGCCGCGUGAGGGAUGAAGGUCUUCGGAUUGCAAACCUCUUUCAGUAGGGACGAAGCGAAAGUGACGGUACCUAAAGAAGAAGCACCGGCUAACUACGUGCCAGCAGCCGCGGUAA